CCAGUAUCGCCUUUGUUGUUGUUAGCUUGUUACAAACGAGGCGAAGCCGAAAAGUGCGAAACAAAACUGUAGCUAAUUUAUACUUAUAUUCCUGCGAUUUCAAUUACAAAAUUGAAUUUCGUAUCAUGUUCUUCUAGAUGCAUACUGUCAGUGUAAGUCAUUCCAACAAGUUGACUUAGCACUCAGUCAACUUCCAUUCAUUAGCCCCAUCAUGCUGUCAAAAGCCUAAAACUCAUGUUUGAAGACCACAUGUAGUAGAAUACAAAUCUGCCGAGAUAAGGUAUCCUGAACCAUAAGACUUUUCUGAAUCUUGCAAUUUUUGUGGUGAACCCUGCAACAGCAUGUUUGUUGUUAUGGAUGCUACUGCAAUACUUCAUGACACUUUCUUUGACAUCAGGAAAUUUACAUCAACCUAAGGAGUAAUGCUGUUUGUUGCUGUGAAUUCAAUUUUUACAGUUUUUUCAUCGUGAACAUUUCAGUGUGCUUCUUAAAAAAGAGCACGGAGAUUCUUUUGCCAAUGCUGACCUUUGUCAAUGACGGAAGAAGGAUUUUCAACAACAUUCUUCUCCAUCCUUAUCUUCGCGACGCACGCUCAUCUAGCUUCACUGCUUUUAAACAAGAUUUGUUUUACUUCACUGACGACUUGGCGAGUUUCUGGACCACUUCAAGAUCGCUUCCGUCAGCUGUUACACACCUGCAGUCACUCACCACGGGAUUAUGCCUAGAUGAUGCAGAGGAGACGUCGAGAAGAUUGACACCAAAACAUCGCCGGUAUCUCC